rnacentral:rRNA from 1 species
UGGGGGAAUAUUGGACAAUGGGGCGCAAGCCUGAUCCAGCAAUGCCGCGUGUGUGAAGAAGGCCUUCGGGUUGUAAAGCACUUUUAUCAGGAGCGAAACGCUGUCGGCUAAUACCCGGCGGAACUGACGGUACCUGAGGAAUAAGCACCGGCUAACUUCGUGCCAGCAGCCGCGGUAAUACGAAGGGUGCAAGCGUUAAUCGGAAUUACUGGGCGUAAAGCGUGCGUAGGCGGUUUCUUAAGUCUGCUGUGAAAUCCCCGGGCUCAACCUGGGAAUGGCAGUGGAUACUGGGAGGCUAGAGUGUGUCAGAGGGUGGUGGAAUUCCCGGUGUAGCGGUGAAAUGCGUAGAGAUCGGGAGGAACAUCAGUGGCGAAGGCGGCCACCUGGGACAACACUGACGCUGAGGCACGAAAGCGUGGGGAGCAAACAGGAUUAGAUACCCUGGUAGUCCACGCCCUAAAAGCGAUGCGAACUGGAUGUUGGUCUCAACUCGGAGAUCAGUGUCGAAGCUAACGCGUUAAGUUCGCUGCCU